rnacentral:rRNA from 1 species
UACGAAGGGGGCUAGCGUUGCUCGGAAUCACUGGGCGUAAAGGGCGCGUAGGCGGCGUUUUUAAGUCGGGGGUGAAAUCCUGGAGCUCAACUCCAGAACUGCCUUCGAUACUGGAGAGCUUGAGUCCGGGAGAGGUGAGUGGAACUGCGAGUGUAGAGGUGAAAUUCGUAGAUAUUCGCAAGAACACCAGUGGCGAAGGCGGCUCACUGGCCCGGUACUGACGCUGAGGUGCGAAAGCGUGGGGAGCAAACAGG